GCCAACCACCCUUAUACCUCUGACCUGGAAAAUCUCUGAAGGGAAAAAUGAGUAUCACCCUUGUGCUCUCAAAUACAAAUUUUUCAGAGCUGACCUAGAAAUACUACAGGAGGCUUAUAAAAACUAUCCAAAGAUGGGACUUAUGUGACAGGAAAUCAUAGAAGUAUAUCAUGUCCCCCAAGAAAACUGAUUUCUCAGUCCCAGCAGUCAUUCAAGAUGCUGUUCAAUGGGUGUUGGAAGAUGGCCAAAGAGCACAGAUGCCAAAUAGCCUUGCAAUAUAUUCAGACUCU
rnacentral:lncRNA from 1 species